GAACACUGGUGUCUCAUUAUUUGCAGAUAAAUCUUUCGCCUUUACUAAAGAUUUCCGUGAGGAGGCAUAAUACAAUAAGUCUUAUCUCAUUUUUCUCAGUUCUGUCUUCGAACAGGGU
rnacentral:snRNA from 1 species